CCUAAUACAUGCAAGUAGAACGCUGAAGAGAGGAGCUUGCUCUUCUUGGAUGAGUUGCGAACGGGUGAGUAACGCGUAGGUAACCUGCCUUGUAGCGGGGGAUAACUAUUGGAAACGAUAGCUAAUACCGCAUAACAAUGGAUGACACAUGUCAUUUAUUUGAAAGGGGCAAUUGCUCCACUACAAGAUGGACCUGCGUUGUAUUAGCUAGUAGGUGAGGUAACGGCUCACCUAGGCGACGAUACAUAGCCGACCUGAGAGGGUGAUCGGCCACACUGGGACUGAGACACGGCCCAGACUCCUACGGGAGGCAGCAGUAGGGAAUCUUCGGCAAUGGGGGCAACCCUGACCGAGCAACGCCGCGUGAGUGAAGAAGGUUUUCGGAUCGUAAAGCUCUGUUGUAAGUUAAGAACGAGUGUGAGAGUGGAAAGUUCACACUGUGACGGUAGCUUACCAGAAAGGGACGGCUAACUACGUGCCAGCAGCCGCGGUAAUACGUAGGUCCCGAGCGUUGUCCGGAUUUAUUGGGCGUAAAGCGAGCGCAGGCGGUUUGAU
rnacentral:rRNA from 1 species